UACGUAGGGUGCAAGCGUUAAUCGGAAUUACUGGGCGUAAAGCGUGCGCAGGCGGUUCGUUGUGUCGGCGGUGAAAGCCCCGGGCUCAACCUGGGAAUGGCAUUGGAAACUGGCGGGCUUGAGUGUGGCAGAGGGGGGUGGAAUUCCGCGUGUAGCAGUGAAAUGCGUAGAUAUCUGGAGAACACCGGUGGCGAAGGCGGCAUCCUGGACCGGUAUGACGCUGACGGCG
rnacentral:rRNA from 1 species